rnacentral:rRNA from 1 species
GACGAACGCUGGCGGCGUGCCUAACACAUGCAAGUCGUACGCUUGUAAAAGCGUGGCGAGCGGGUGAGUAAUAGUAGGGAACAUGCCUUAUUCCGGGAAAUACCCCACCGAAAGGUGGGCUAAUGUCCCAUGGUCCCCAUGAGAUAUGAAAAUUAUCUCACGGGGUAAAGCUCCGGCGGAAUAAGAUUGGCCCUAUUCCUAUCAGCUAGUUGGUGAGGUAAAGGCUUACCGAGGCUUCGACGGGUAGGAGGUCUGAGAGGAUGAUCUCCCACAAUGGAACUGAGACACGGUCCAUACACCUACGGGUGGCAGCAGUUGGGAAUAUUGCACAAUGGGCGACAGCCUGAUGCAGCGACGCCGCGUGAAGGAAGAAGGCCCUCGGGUUGUAAACUUCUUUUUUAUGGGACGAUUGUGACGGUACCAUAAGAAUAAGGACCUGCUAACUACGUGCCAGCCGCCGCCGUAA